AACGAACGCUGGCGGCGUGCCUAACACAUGCAAGUCGAACGGAGUCAUAUUGAAGUAGCAAUACGGAGAUAUGAGUUAGUGGCGGACGGGUGAGUAACACGUAGGUAACCUACCCUUAAGCGGGGGACAACUCAGGGAAACUUGAGCUAAUACCGCAUAAGCCCCCGGGCUGAGAUGCCAGAGGGAAAAGGAGCAAUCCACUUGAGGAUGGGCCUGCGGCCUAUCAGGUAGUUGGUGAGGUAACGGCCCACCAAGCCAGAGACGGGUAGCCGGACUGAGAGGUUGAACGGUCACACUGGAACUGAGAUACGGUCCAGACUCCUACGGGAGGCAG
rnacentral:rRNA from 1 species